rnacentral:rRNA from 1 species
GUCUAUUUGAAGAUAUAGAAAGUCUGAUCUGCCCACUGAUAUUAAUUUAAGGGCCGCGGUAAUCUGACCGUGCAAAGGUAGCAUAAUAGUUAGGUUUUUAAUUGGAAUCUUGUAUGAAUGAUUGGACAAAAGAAAAUCUGUCUCUAGCUUUUUAUCUGAAUUUAACUUUUGAGUGAAAAGGCUUAAAUAUUUUAAAAAGACGAUAAGACCCUAUAAAGCUUGAUAAAUCGAUAUUAUUUGGUUAAAUUGUUAAUAAAAAUUAAAUGGUUGAAUUUAUUUUGUUGGGGCGACAAUAGUAAAAUGGUUACUAACUGCUAAAAUUUAAAACAGUUUAUAAAUGGUUUAAAUAUUAAAUGAUCCUUUGUAAAGAUUAAAAGUUUAAGUUACUUUAGGGAUAACAGCGUUAUUUUUCUUGAGAGUCCUUAUCGAAAGAAAAGUUUGCGACCUCGAUGUUGAAUUAAAAUUUCCGUCUAAUUGUAGAAGUUGGUACGGUGGGCCUGUUCGACCUUUAAAAUUUUACAUGAUUUGAGUUCAGACCGGCGUGAG